CUUAAUGUGUCUUAAGUGUAAUUUCUUUUUUGUUUUCUUUUCAGGUGUUUUUCAUGAGAAAAAUCAAUACCUUGCUAUAUGGUUUACAACAGCGUUUUUAUUGGCUUUUCUCGUGUGCUUCGUGUGCUUAUUUUUUUGGAGGAGAAAAAUAGCAGGUUUCCUUUCUUCCUACUUGUCUCUUCUCCAAGGUUUCAUGGACUUAGAAUCUGGUGCUUCCUUUAUCUGUCUCAUGAAAGACGGGUAAUAAAGGGAGGGAGGAUGAAAACCCUGGUUCAGCUAGUCCACUGGAACAACACCUAGGGUAUGACCACAUGCCUGCUAAUCUCUUAAGGAAGGUGUCUUUCUGAGAAAUGUAGAACCCAGCUUCAGAACCUACCUGCCCUUCCCUUUCUGGUGCCCUCCCACCACAUCCUCUAGAGAGACAACUAUGCAGGUCUAGGGUAGAAGACCUCUCCUCACUACAGUCACAAGUUUCAAUUUCCCGGAUUUUAUUUUUCAGGUUCUUCAUGUUUCUCUGCUCGGCAAACCCUUAAUCUUGCAGAGAACCCGAGGAAUGCAGAGGAUGAUCCAUCCUCUGCAGGGAACACUGUGUAUAUUCAGGUCACUCAUCCAAACACGAGAAAAGAAAUCGCAACAUCUGUGGAAAACAAUGAUUCCUCCACAAUUUACUCCACAGUUUAUCAGUCCAACAGUAAAUCCAUUUCUUCCAGAGCAACUGCCCUUGACAACGUCAUCUAGGUUGCCAAAAGUUCUCAAAGGAAUCCAAGAAUGGCACAGCUUCUCCUAAUCCCAUGGGAGCAAACAGCUUGGUUUCUGCCUGGCAACAGAAUUUGAAAAUCUAAGAUCAUCAUUUCCAUUUCUUCAGACUCAAACUUGCUUAUCCAGGUCAAACAUUUAAGGAAUAACAUCAUUGCAGCCUGCGAUCCAAAUAAUAUCUUAAAAUCUGCUCCAGGCCAAAAUAUGCUUCAGAAAAUAUGCCUGGAUAUUAACUUUCUCUUUGGUAACUAAGCAAGUGGAAUUAUGGUUGAUGAAGAGACUCUAACUCAGAAGACAACCACUUCUCUCCUUUUAGGAAGAAUCAGAAUUGUGACUCAUUUUGAGAGAGUGCAGUGUGUUGGUGUCAUGCG